UGGACCGCACGUGUUUAGAGAGGUCUCCCUCUUGACAAGGGCCCACAGACCUCAGAGGUGGUACCAAGGCACAGAGAAUGCGAGAUGGGCAGUGGAGACCAAGGCCCAGGGCGCUUCAGAUGCACAGGGGAACCUACUCAUACAUGCAGGACAUCCCAGGCAGGCCCGAGGAGCACCAGACCCUCAGAGGGUGUCUCUCACAGUCUUCACAGCCCCUCUGCACGCCCAGAGUGGGCUCAGGGCUUUUCCCAGAGGAGAGUGCCUUCCAAGCUGUCUGGCUUCAGGCUGGUGCACAUCCCAGACUCCUCCAGCCUGCUUCUGAGCUGCAGGACUAGCCAUCUUUCCAGAGGAGUAGACAGGGGAAGAAUUUCUGCUGAGGCAUACACUUCCAGGGGAUGACUCCUGGGUCCAGAGAAACACAAUGACCAUCGUUCCUGACACAGACCUCACUGUGGAGAGAGGCUAACAUGUGACCAGAGAGGAUGUCAUGGGCAACACACUUGUGGGGGCACAGAAUAUUUGUGGGGCACUCUAGUUGGGAAUGGAUGGUCCCACGAAGUACAUGGGGUGAGAGGGACGUGAGGCCCGCUGAUGGGAGGACGCAGAGUGUAUCACACCCAAAUGGGGCAGUGUGCAUGCGACACACUCAGGAGGCGGGGCAGGGAGGGAGUGACCCCACAAUUCACACGCACACACACAGCGCACAAGGGAGUGACCCCACAAUUCACACGCACACACACAGCGCACAAGGGAGGCAUCCCCUAGCUAGGAGAAAGGAAGGAGUGAUCAGCGCCCGUGAGUGAAAACAGAACAAGAGGUCAAGUUGCCAGGGAAGGCCUCCUCCUCAAUGUGCCUGGGAGCUGACCGCCAGAGAGCAGAGAACGGGCUUCUCCAGGUCCCCUGUGCCGGGCACUGGUGAGGGCUAGGGUUUCCACACAGGUACAUCCUCCAAUCCAGGGCCAGAAGGUGUCCUUAACUAGGAAGCAGUCUCCUCCAAAUGCAAGGUCAAGAGACCUUUCUGGCUGUGAGAGAGGGCGAGAGCCAGAGAGAGAGAAGGGUACAGAAUAACUCCAGCUCAGGUCCCUUUCAGAUGAGACAGCUGGUGAGCAAAACAGCCUCCCCACAGGCUCCUGGCUAGAGUAAAAGGGGGGCAAAGCAGCAGCCCCACGAGCCCCUGCGCCCAGCUGGCAGGGCUGCCCACCACCACCACGCCACUGCUCCAUCCGGCUGGGAUGUGGGGGCCAGCACAGGGGCUGGGGGUCAGACUGGCACUGAGGACGUGCCCCCCACAAACAGCCCCUGCUCUCCUCCCCACCCCGGUGUCCCCUAUCUUCAUGGAAAGAGAGUAAGAGGCACUCCUGCGGGCCCUUGGGGCAGUGGGGGCUGGGGGUCCCAGUGAGGCCUGGGCGAGGAUGGCCAUCCUACCCAUGUGGGGGAGCCCCUUCCCCACCUCUGUGCUGUGUCCUUGUUGCUCUGCUUCCUUUAAAUGUGUCAGUGCCUGGGGGGAGGGGAGGGGCACCCCUUCAUGCCCCCUGAACCUGACCAAAAGCCAUGGCUGUUGCUCCCCCUUUGUAUGACGCAGAUGCUAAGAUGUACCAAACCAACCAUGACACAAAGAAAAGACCUUGUACAGUAGCUCUCGGUCUGUCUGCCCUCUUCUGUCCAUCGGCACCGCCUGGGUGACUUGCGACACCAGCUGAAGUGAGGGGCCAACCCACAGAGCUGGAGCGGCCCCAGAAAACCUUCCCUUUUACCUUCACUUCUGGCCAGGACCUUGUGGCAAUGAAUGACCCCCAGAAACCACUGAGGCCAGAGUGAAGGCUGGCUCCAGAGAUUCAGGGCCAUUCACAUCCUGCCCUUCAAAGUCAGCUGGCAACCCCAGGAGCUGGUGGUUCAGCCUGACUGUAAGCCCCACACCCCAUCUCUUGCCACCCUUUCUCACAAGUUUCUUGGGUGUGGCAUCCUGACACAGAGACAAGUCACAUCAGUUCAGUUCAGUUCAGUCGCUCAGUGGUGUACGACUCUUUGCGACCCCAUGAACCGCAGCAUGCCAGGCCUCCCUGUCCAUCACCAACUCCCGGAGCCCACCCAAACCCAUGUCCAUUGAGUCGGUGAUGCCAUCCAACCAUCUCACCCUCUGUCAUCCCCAUCUCCUCCUGCCCUCAAUCUUUCCCAGCAUCAGGAUCUUUUCAAAUGAGUCAGCUCUUCGCAUCAGGUGGCCAAAGUAUUGGAGUUUCAGCUUCAACAUUAGUCCUUCCAAUGAACACCCAGGACUGACCUCCUUUAGGAUGGACUGGUUGGAUCUCCUUGCAGUCCAAGGGACUCUAAAGAGUCUUCUCCAGCACCACAGUUAAAAGCAUCAAUUCUUCAGUGCUCAGCCUUCUUAUAGUCCAACUAAGUCUGUCACUGGUUGUCUCACCAACAUUGAUGGAGUUUCUACCUCUGCUAGGCUGUGUGCAGGAGGCCAGGGACCCAGAGAAAGGAUGUCAUUCAGCAUUGCUUCUGGACACAGACACAUGCCAGGCCUUGUUGAGGGUCAGGACUAGACCACCUUUGGCUACCCUUCCCCCGCAUAACCCUUCCUUAAGCUAAGCCUCUUCUCUCUGCUUGGAUAGACACUCAUUCCUCACACCCUAGUCUCCUAAACUGUAUCUCUUCCCUCCUACCCACCCUCUCCGCACCACCCCAUCCCACCUAAACUCAUCUAAAACCCAGACUUAGCCAUGUCACUCUGCUGCCCAACAUCCUUCAGUGGUUUACAGGGCAAAAUCAUCAAAAUGGCCAUGUGUGAUAUGACCCCCGCUGGCCAGGUCUGACCCCACCUAACUGUGCUUCAAACAACCACCCCCGAGUAGUUCCCACAUGUCUCAUGCUGUUUCAUGGUUGCCUAUUCGGUCCCCUCUGCCUAAAAUGAACAGUACCUGUCCCCUCCCUAGCUUCUCAAGACCCAGUUCCACUGUCACCUCCUGCAUGACGCUGGACAAGACCCUGAUGCUGGGAAAGAUUGAAGGCGAGAGAAGAAGGGGACGACAGAGGAUGAGAUGGUUGGAUGGCAUCACCAGCUCGAUGGACAUGAGUUUGAGCAAGCUCCGGGAGUUGGUGAUGGACAGGGGAGCCUGGCGUGCUGCAGUCCAUGGGGUCACAAAGAGUCAGAUGCAACUGAGUGACUGAACUGAAUUGAACUGAUUGGUUAGGAGUCACAGGAUCCAACCACAGUUGCAGGGAAAGGACUGCACAAGGGUGCAGACACUGGGAGGGGACCCCUCGGGUCAUCUUAGAGUCUGCUCCCACAGAGCCCGAGGCAGCCCCUUCCCCACAGAGGAGCAGGAGUUGAGCAGAGCUUCAGUGGAGCCAAGCCACAAACUUCCGCCCUGGGUGGUGGGGGAAGUGUCUCAUAGCAGGGCAGGGGCCAAUGGUAUGCUCUCUUGGGGCUUCUGCAAGACUGAGGCCAUUCUCAGAGCUGGGGUCGAGGUUCCAAAACCCUUUUCUAGCCUGGGAGUUGGAGAAAAGUGGUCCGUGAAGGCUUCUUGCUCCCCUGGGAGCCCACCUGUGUGCUCCACAAGUAGGCCAGCCAGUGUCCCUCCAAGGCCCAGGUCCCUUCUCAGUAAACUAACAGGUCAGGCAUUCAGAUGUUUAUUCUCUGCCUCCGUCUCCUCUCCUUUACCUCAGAUGCACCCCAAAGUGCCCUGGUGGGAAAUGCCAGCAUCCUCUGAUUCUGGGCCUUGAAUGUCUUGUCCUAAAGAGUCAGUUAAACAGUACUUACUGUACUCCCACCACCUGCCAGGCAGCAUUAGGUAGUUCUAGGUACCAAGAACAUCAACUAACAGCCCUUCCAUCCAGAAAUCUACUCAUUAGUGGAAGAAACGGGCAGAUAAAC
ensembl:lncRNA